CGUGAGACAGUUCGGUCUCUAUCUAUUGUGGGCGUUGGAAAUUUGAGAGGAUCUGACUCUAGUACGAGAGGACCGGGUUGGACGAACCUCUAGUGUAUCUGUUGUCGCGCCAGCGGCACCGCAGAGUAGCUACGUUCGGAAGGGAUAAGCGCUGAAAGCAUCUAAGCGCGAAACCCACUUCAAGAUGAGGUUUCUUUAAAGGGACGUUAUAGAUGAUGACGUUGAUAGGCUGCAGGUAUAUAGGUAGUAAUAUCAGAGCUGAGCAGUACU
rnacentral:rRNA from 16 species